CCUUCUCUCUCCUCCCCGCGCACAGCUCCCCCGAGCACUGUUCACCGACGCCAUUUUUGGGUCAGCGCCGCCGCCACGGUGCACCACCGGCCACCCGACCGGUCGGGUUCGAACCGCUGUCACCCCAGCAACCUUUCCCGACCAUCCCCGACGGCAGCAACGGCCGGAAUCCACCGGAAAAAGCUCGGAAUCGCGCCAGUUUUGACAGAAACUUCGCCGGCUCGAUUUCCCUCCUCCGGCCACCGUUUCUGGUGAUUGAGGUGGAAAUUUUGGGAAAUGUUCAAACUACAGGAGAGACUCUGGCGAAUUUUCGGCAGAAAGUCUCAUGCCCUUACUCCUUUUGAAGAAGGAGGUUACCUUUAUAAGGAGUGAACCCAGCAUGGGUGUGAUGCCGGGGUCUCCGCAGGAUUCAUCUCAGGUUUUGUGAAAAAUUCGGGGCGGGUCCUGCCAGCUUGGUAUCAGAGCUUAGAUUCAAUUUCUUGUGGACCCCGCACCUAGUGUGCAUCCCUAAGUUGUGGGAUUAUGAUGGGUUCCGUCACGGGACGUCAUUAUUUUUAUGCGGAAAUUGCAUAAGAUCUUCCACUCAAACAUGAAAAUGUGCUGCUGAGUUUUCUGGUCUUGGAUAAUUAAAAAAAAAAGGUUAAUUACAGUUUAGUACUAUGUAGUUACACCC